AAGGGUUGUUUUCCUUCACCAAGUGACAUGAAUCUACAAUAUAAGAAAGUUCAAUGCUCUGGAAAAGACCGAACUGCCCUUUUGCUUUCUUAAUGAGCCACGUGGCUGCCUUAUUUGCUUUCCUUUUUACUUGCUUCAUUUUCCUUUCCUUUACUACUUCCUAUGCUACGUGUGAAAACCUUCCCCUCUUUGUCUCUUUCUUCUUCUUUCUCUCUCCGAGUCUUCUUUCUCUCUCAGAGCGACAUCUUCUACUUUCUGCUUUCUUCCUCUUCAUUUCCUCUUUUCUUCUUCAUCUUCUUCAUUUCCCAAAACGAAAUCGACACGGUUAUCAGGUUUUUUUGGAUUUCUGUUUAAAGUUACUGUUUAGAUAUUGUGGUUAGUGUUUUUGUGGUUUGUAUGAUGAUUUUGUGGUUAGGGUUUUCGUGAUUGUGGUUGAUAUCAUGAUUUUGUGGUUAGGGUUUUGAUGCGGCUAUUGGCCAAAUGGAGGUAUGUUGUUCUUUUCAUCUUUCUAACAUAAAUAUGAAUAAUGUUUUCACCAGUUGCUUUUAACAUUCAGAUCUGUGGUGGCAACAAGAGGUUACCGGCGAUUAGUGUGGUGGUGGUGGUGGAAACGGAUUUCCGCCGAUAAGUGUGGUGGUGGCCGAAAUCAGAAAGAGAUGAAUGGUUGGAGCAGCUGUUGCAGAACAAUCCAUUGUACACACAGAACUUCGUCCAUUGCUUGCUUGAUGUGGUUGAUGACUGAGAAGACGACAUGAGUUACAAUACCAUCACCGACAAAUCAGAAGACAACACGAGUUACACUACCAUCGUCGACAAGGAAAUACAAUACUAUCGCAUGAAUCACAGUGUCGUCACCGCCACCUAAAGAUAAGUUACUCUUACAUAUUCUAUUGAUUGAUUUCAAUCUUCUAUAUUUGUUAUGUUGAUUUGCAUUAUUUACUCAAAGGGAUUGAAUGUGAGAAUUGAAGCUUUAUAGGUUGGUUGGAGCUGCAGAAUUUAUGUUUGAUUCAUGAUGAGUUUACAAAAUCACGACGUGUUGCGAUGAUAUCUGCUAAAGCUAUAAUUCUGGAAAAAAUUGAAUGUUCGGAUCUCACCGGGUAUGCGUUUAACUUUAAGGUUUUCGUGUAACAUUGAAAAUUUUUUUUACUGCAUUUUUAAUCUUAAAUUUUUGGAUUGCUGCUAUUGUUACAUGUAAAGGUCUAUGCCUUAGACUCAACACUAUGGUAACAUAAUUAGUUUGUGUUUUAUUUUGGUUUACUGCUAAUGUUUCAUGUUGAUAGGGUUGUGGAUCAGUUAUUUAACAUGAACAUCUAAGUUGGUUUAUGUUGUGAAUGGUGUCAAGGCGGGGCUGAUUCACUUUUUUUGGUUUGGGACUGCUAUGUUGUAGUGUCAGUUUAAAUUUGCAGGUGUAUAUUGGUUCAUUGAAUCAGUUUUGGACUGGUUUUUGGGCACUUGUUCGGACAGAUUUUGAACAUGAUUUUGGUGAGUUUUUUGAAACAAGUAUUUAAGUUUAUUUUACUACCCUUGGGUUUAAUAAUAUAUUAAGCAAGGAAUUGAGUUGAACUGUCGAGGAUGAUAAUAACUUUGAUAAGUAGGUUGUGAAACAGUUGUAUUAUAUGAUCUGGGACCUAAAGGUCUUUGAGGUACAUCAAUCCCAGCUUGACGAGCCUUCCAUUCAGACGCUGUCGUGGAUUGGCUACGACCGUAUAAUGGAACUAGCGAUGAUUGAGAUGAGACAGUUCUGAUUUGCAUACUGGACAUUGUGGCUUCUGUUUCUCCUCAUAUUCGAAAGAGAUAGCUGUUUGUAUAUGAAUCCAUUUGUAAAUGCAAGGCCAGUAGUAAAGGUGACCAUAAGGAUGUAUAAUUAUUGUGAGUUACUUCCUUUCAAUUUACAUGGGGUUGAAAUGGUCUGAGUUCAAACCUGGUCUCUGCAUCGGGGAAGGAGUUAAGUUAGAGACUUGUGGACUGCUGAAGUUACUCAUAAUGUGGUGAGAUGCAUCUGAAUCUUCCCUGCUUGCUUGACUGGGAGGGUACAAGCUCUUGGAAGGAGAUAGCCUUGAUGUCCCUGCUGCAUCAUAUUUGUUAUGAAAGCCUUGGUUGCUAUUUGGGGUGCUUCUUCCACUCACAUUGCUACUUGAUAAAUGAUCUGCAUCAUAUGCAUGUGAUCGGGAACUAAUUGGACAUAGCACAGAUGAUGAUGCUUCUCACCGUUAUUUCAUUUGUUUGUCUUUACAACUUUUAGUAUAUAAUUGUUCUAUUUAUGACAUAUGAAGUUUGGUUGGAGUUGGAACUAUUGUUUUAGCAUGCCUUCUAUUGUAAAAUACCUUGAAAUAUUUUUCAGGUCAUGUGCCCAUGAAUAUGAAAGUCGUCAAGAAAUGGCAUCUUUGGCAUAUAAAUGCAUGGAGGUGGCAUACAUGAGAGUGGUUUACUGCAAACAUUCUGGUACAAAUCAAACUCUGUGUGAGUUGCAAUCAACUCUUCAAGUAGUUUCUCAAUGUAACAAAACACAGUGAUGUCAAUAUUUACACCUGGAGGUUUAUCUGGAUGCAUUGUGUUUGGUCAUCUUCACCUUUACUUGCACACUUCUUCAAGCAAUGGGGUUGGCUCGGAUAAUUCGACAGUACCUGAAGUUUUAAAUAUUGGGGCUCUCCCUGCAAGAAGAUUCAAAAUACCGAGGCUUUUUGACCAUUGCUGAAGCUCAUGGCAACACAUAAUGUGGCCAUUAUCGGUCCGCAGACAUCUACGACAGCUCAUGUCAUUUCUCAUAUAGCAAAUGAGCUACAUAAUUCCGGGCAUUUCAGCAAAGGAUUGGUGAACCCUUAAGGCUCCUAAAAUAAUGGAGCUCUGUGAGUCAUGAAAAGGAGCUUGGAUGGAACUGAUGGAAGGAACUGAAUCAUCAAAUUUUCUUGAACAGUGCAGAAAGCAUUUUUCUAGGAUGAAGCAUUGUCGGGUUGAUACUUCUCAGGCUUUGAAAUCCUCUCCAUGGUUUAGAUUUCCCUAUCCAUUGCAAUGUGCUAUUCAGCUAUGACUAUUCUAUCUAUUCACGACUUCAUCAUUUUUGGUGCAAGAUUUAUCAGUGUGUGGAACAGAAGCAACUGUGAAUUUUUCAAGCAUGUGAGUUCUUAGUAUAAACCUUCAAUAUUUUUUAUCAAACCUGUGACAUGUAAUUAUAAAAAAAACAAGCCAGUGUUAUAGAAUAUUGACAGCACUAUGGCAAACAUAUGUGGUGGGUUUUGGGCUUGCCGCAAUGGUAAAUAUCAACUGCUCUUGCGGAUUUUUCCGCCAUAAUGUGCUAUGACAGCGUCACCAAGCGGGAUUUAGACUCUCCGCCAUAGUACAAUCUGCCAUAGACAACACUCCCACUAGCUUGCAAAUAUUAGAAGAAAUAUUAGCUACUGUAAUACAUUAGUGCAAAUGGCAUCUUUGCUGAGGUUUUCGGCCAUUUAAGUCGUUUUGGAGGAAUGGGAAUGAGCGGCGGCGGCUGCGGAGGCACGAGGGGUCGGACGUGGGUGUCAAAACUUACGAGGAGAAGCGCCUUUUGGGGUAACACCAUGUUGGCUGAACUUACCAUCAAGGCUGAAAAAAGUGAGCCCGGUGCAAUCUUCACAUGUAGAAUAUAUUUGUCUCAAGAAAUGCAAACUUUCAGAUGGGUAUUUGUCAACUGGUCUCAUGUUGUUUGCUAAUGUGAAAGAAUUAUAUUUAGCUGAAUGUCAAUUCACAGUGCUUCCUAAAUCUAUUGAAAAAUGUCACUUUUUAUGGAGGCUUGUCUUGGAUGAUUGUGAGGAACUUCAGGAAAUUAAAGGGAUUCCACCAGGCUUAAAAGAAUUAUCUGCAUUAAACUGCAAAUCGUUGACUUCGUCGUGUAAAAGAAAAUUACUAAAUCAGGAAUUGCAUGAGUAUGGAAACACCCGGUUCUGUUUGCCACGAGCAAAGAUUCCAGAGUGGUUCGACCACCAAUGCUCGGCAGGAUUGUCAACUUCUUUCUGGUUUCGUAAUAAGUUUCCUGCCAUAGUUCUCUGCGUUGUUUCUCCAUUGACAUGGGUAGAUGAUAUUCGACAUCGUGUAAGAGUGACCAUUAAUGGAAUUACAUUUCUCCGUACGCAUGGUUUGAAGACACGUACGUCACGGGCCAAAAUGUAUACUUUAAAUCUUUUUCAUAUGCAAAUGAAAAACUUCAAUGAUAAUAUGGACAGAGCACUUUUAGAAAAUAAAUGGAACCAUUCAGAGGUUGACUUUGGAUUCCCAUUCUUGAAUAGCGGAAUUCAUGUAUUGAAAGAGAAAAGUAGCAUGAAGGAUAUUCGAUUCACCAACCCAGAGAAUGAUGCUAAUAUUGAGUUCACUCAGAAUGUUGAAGUAAGUAUACAAUUGGUUUUACCCAAUUGUCAUAAAUUAUCUUCCUGUAGUGUUUUAGUAUGUUAAUUUGUUUCAUAAUUUGAUGAUGUAUUUUUCCAUGUAUUCACUAAAUCACAGUUAUAGGUUGGUGGCUCUGUUUAAGGAGUGUUGUUUAAAUGAAGGUGGUAUAUUACCAAGUUACUGCUAAGAAACUAAUACGGUGUCUUACAUUAGUGUAUUAUUUGAUUUGAAUGAAAUCAAGUCAUACAUUAGUGUGUUAGGAAUUCCAUAAAACAUUUUAUAAAAGGAAAAUUCAAGUUCUUCAAAAUCUCCAUCACCUUAAUAAAUUUUUCAUUUUCAAAAAAACAUAAAUAUAAUAUACUUAAAUUAUUUAUCUUUUAUUUAAGUUAAGAACAAAACUAUAAUUUAUUUUUUAUAAACCAACUAAAAAAUUGUUUAUUUUUAAUUUUU